CAACAAUCAGAGGUUGAGUUGUGCGCAGCUAGGUUCGCACAGUCAGGUUAUAAACAAAAUUUAGAACCCAUGUAUUCUCAAGGCACACAAAGACAUCACAACUUGUGCUUGCCUCAUCCAACACUGCAUCUGCAAGAAGUGGCAUGGAGUACAUGGAGUCAAGCAGUUGCUGCAAUUCAGCAACUCCAGGAGGGGUGAUUAGGAAUAGGUUAACUUAGUAUACCAAGUAAACAAUUUUGGUUAGAGUAGAGGAGGGUGACUGUAGGUGCAUAUACAUUUGUCCAACAAUAAAGCAAUCACUAACCACUUCACCAGAGGGCUAGGAUCAUUAGUGGGACAGUCAGAGUCUGUCACAAAGAAAGUAUGACUUUUAAUGUAUGCUGAUGACAUUACCUUAGUGGCACAUAUCGCUGACACAGACACCCCCGACACAAGACAUCAACAGCCAAGGACAGUAGAGCAAGUGGUAGUUUUUAGGUACCUAGGCAUAGAAAUGUAGCCUGGUCCUUACCAUCCCUACUACCAUUUCAUUUCGUAUUCAUGGUCUGGAGGUUGUUUGAUCUGACACGAUUGCAGGAAGCGGGAAGGAAAUGGUCGGAAAAAUCAGGAUAAGUUGUUGAACAAACAUGUCUGACGUCUAUCUCUGGCGAUGUAGGACCGUUUAACAGACAUGUCUGACAGAAUAUCCUACCGUAGGAUAAAAUUACAAUGUAGGACCGCUUGUCAGAACACCGGCCAAAUCCUACCGGCAACAUUGCUCCACAGAAAACUGGUAUCAGAAGUAGUGUGGAGUCAAGUCUCUUGGCGGAAGUACGUAGGAUGGUGCGCAAGGCUAAUAGAAAUGGGCACCCUCCUGUCCUUCUCACAGCACAUGAACACAAUAUUCAAAAAAGGACAUUCCAAGUCAGCAAGGAUAUUCUGAUUUUUGAUACCUCCUCCUCGUAUAACUUAACCCAUUGUGUCCUGGAGACACAUAUACAGGUUUUUCAGGAUCUUGAGAUUUUAGCUGUUUUAUUAACUAUGUGGGUAUGUUAGAGCUGAAUGAACACAUUACAAUGCAAGGGGGGUAUUGGCUUUUAAAUGUAACUCAUUUCAUGUUUGUAUGUGCUUCGGAGGCUGAGAUAUUGCGGAUUUAAUAGGAAGAGGGCACCCUUUCCCAAAAAGGGCUUAGGACAAAAUGGGUUAAUUAGCAGUCCAUUUUUGAAUAUUGUGUUCAUGUGCUGUGAGAAAGACAGGGAGGUGCCCAUUUCUGUGCCUAGGCACCUUAAAACUACCACUUGCUCUUCUGCCUGCCAUUGGCUCUCUCUCUCCAGCUGAGCACCGUUAUUGAUACACUGCAGAUGUACAUUCCAGUAUAUUUUAACUAGGCCAAUUUAAAGUCUAUACUUGCACAAUUCUACCAACAGAAGAUAACAGACAGACUCUCUUUUCCUCCUGCUCCCCUGUUCAGCAGGGCUGGAUCCCCACAUGGCUGCAUGCUGAGCCCCCAUCUAAAGUCUAUCCGUCCUUGACUGCAGUAUAGCCAGCAAAAGGGACUGAAGGUGGCAGCCUGGUGUACAGAGACAGAGACAAAUUUCUCUAGCUCUGAAAGAAAAGAAAACCAAAGACAUCAUUGCUGCAUUCAGGAGGCACACCUAUAGCGAGAAUAGACCUAGCCCUUUCUGAACUUCCCACUGUCUCAACAGAGCUAAAACAUUGUCUUGGACAUUAUCCUGGUUCUGAGUUCUUGGGUCUCUACAGAUGUAUCAUUGGCAUUACAGAUGUAUCAUCAAAGUAAGGACCAAAGACUAAAACCACAUUUCACACACAUGGACUGUCUGACUGUUCAUUACUAUCUCUUGUUCCCCUGAUCUCCUUCCAUCCUCCGAUUGUUGUGCAAUAAUUGAUACAGUGCAAUGUGUUGAGCUGGAUUCUUGCCGUACUACAGAACAAAGGCCAGCCUUGUAAUUAAUGGUUAUAAUUGUCACAGAGUGGCCAUCUCAGCUGAAAUAUGUACAGUACAUUAAGCAAGACAAUCUAUGCAAUAACUUUGGAUGACUGAUGUGCAAUACCAGCCUGAGUAUGUCCUUUGUGUAUAUAUUCACACACACACACACACACACACACACACACACACACACACACACACACACACACACACACACACACACACACACACACACACACACACACACACACACACACACACACACACACACACACACACACACA